rnacentral:rRNA from 1 species
UUGUUGGUAAGGUAAAAGCUUACCAAGGCUUCGAUCAGUAGCUGGUCUGAGAGGACGGCCAGCCACACUGGGACUGAGACACGGCCCAGACUCCUACGGGAGGCAGCAGUGGGGAAUUUUGGACAAUGGGGGCAACCCUGAUCCAGCCAUGCCGCGUGAGUGAAGAAGGCCUUCGGGUUGUAAAGCUCUUUCAGCCGGAACGAAACGGUUACGGUUAACACCCGUGACUACUGACGGUACCGGGAGAAGAAGCACCGGCUAACUACGUGCCAGCAGCCGCGGUAAUACGUAGGGUGCGAGCGUUAAUCGGAAUUACUGGGCGUAAAGCGUGCGCAGGUGGUUUUGUAAGUCAGAUGUGAAAGCCCCGGGCUCAACCUGGGAACUGCGUUUGAAACUACAAGACUAGAGUGUGGCAGAGGGGGGUGGAAUUCCGCGUGUAGCAGUGAAAUGCGUAGAGAUGUGGAGGAACACCGAUGGCGAAGGCAGCCCCCUGGGUCAACACUGACGCCCAGGCACGAAAGCAUGGGGAGCAAACAGGAUUAGAUACCCUGGUAGUCCAUGCCCUAAACGAUGUCAACUAGUUGUCGGGCCUUUACGGGCUUGGUAACGUAGCUAACGCGUGAAGUUGACCGCCUGGGGAGUACGAUCGCAAGAUUAAAACUCAAAUGAAUUGACGGGGACCCGCACAAGCGGUGGAUUAUGUGGAUUAAUUCGAUGCAACGCGAAAAACCUUACCUACCCUUGACAUGUAUCGAAGCCCGCAGAAAAGCGGGGGUGCCCGAAAGGGAACGAUAACACAGGUGCUGCAUGGCUGUCGUCAGCUCGUGUCGUGAGAUGUUGGGUUAAGUCCCGCAACGAGCGCAACCCUUGUCAUUAAUUGCCAUCAUUUAGUUGGGCACUUUAAUGAGACUGCCGG